rnacentral:rRNA from 1 species
GACGAACGCUGGCGGCGUGCUUAACACAUGCAAGUCGAACGCGAAAGAUUUCUUCGGAGAUCGAGUAGAGUGGCGCACGGGUGAGUAACGCGUAAGUUAUCUACCUCGGCAUCUGGAAUAACGCACCGAAAGGUGAGCUAAUACCGGAUACGUUGAGUAAUCAAGAAAGGUGGCCUCUGCAUAUGCUACCGUGCUGAGAUGAGCUUGCGUACCAUUAGCUAGUUGGUAGGGUAAUGGCCUACCAAGGCGACGAUGGUUAGCGGGUCUGAGAGGAUGAUCCGCCACACUGGAACUGGAACACGGACCAGACUCCUACGGGAGGCAGCAGUGAGGAAUAUUGCGCAAUGGGGGAAACCCUGACGCAGCGACGCCGCGUGGAUGAUGAAGGCCUUCGGGUCGUAAAAUCCUGUCAGGUGGAAAGAAAUGCAUGGUGGUUAAUACCCAUCAUGUUUGACGGUACCACCGAAGGAAGCACCGGCUAACUCCGUGCCAGCAGCCGCCGUAACAC